rnacentral:rRNA from 1 species
AGUGAACGCUGGCGGCGUGCUUAACACAUGCAAGUCGAACGAGAACGGGCUAUAGCUUGCUAUAGUUGUCAGCUAAGUGGCGCACGGGUGAGUAAUGUAUAGGUAAUAUGCCUCUUACUAAGGGAUAACAAAUGGAAACGUUUGCUAAUACCUUAUACUCCUUAUUAACAUAAGUUAAUAAGGGAAAGAUUUAUUGGUAAGAGAUUAGCCUGUAUUGUAUCAGUUAGUUGGUGGGGUAAUGGCUUACCAAGACUAUGACACAUAACUGGUUUGAGAGGAUGAUCAGUCACACUUGAACUGAGACACGGUCCAGACUCCUACGGGAUGCAGCAGUGGGGAAUAUUGCACAAUGGACGAAAGUCUGAUGCAGCAACGCCGCGUGGAGGAUGACACAUUUCGGUGCGUAAACUCCUUUUAUAUGAGAAGAUAAUGACGGUAUUAUAUGAAUAAGCACCGGCUAACUCCGUGCCAGCAGCCGCUGUAA